rnacentral:rRNA from 1 species
GAUGAACGCUGGCGGCGUGCCUAAUACAUGCAAGUCGAGCGAAUGGAUUAAGAGCUUGCUCUUAUGAAGUUAGCGGCGGACGGGUGAGUAACACGUGGGUAACCUGCCCGUAAGACUGGGAUAACUCCGGGAAACCGGGGCUAAUACCGGAUAACAUUUUGAACCGCAUGGUUCGAAAUUGAAAGGCGGCUUCGGCUGUCACUUAUGGAUGGACCCGCGUCGCAUUAGCUAGUUGGUGAGGUAACGGCUCACCAAGGCAACGAUGCGUAGCCGACCUGAGAGGGUGAUCGGCCACACUGGGACUGAGACACGGCCCAGACUCCUACGGGAGGCAGCAGUAGGGAAUCUUCCGCAAUGGACGAAAGUCUGACGGAGCAACGCCGCGUGAGUGAUGAAGGCUUUCGGGUCGUAAAACUCUGUUGUUAGGGAAGAACAAGUGCUAGUUGAAUAAGCUGGCACCUUGACGGUACCUUGCGAGAAAGCCACGGCUAACUACGUGCCAGCCGCCGCCGUAA